rnacentral:rRNA from 1 species
CAGCAGUCGCCACGGUAAUACGGAGGAUCCGAGCGUUAUCCGGAAUUAUUGGGUUUAAAGGGUGCGUAGGCGGAUAGAUAAGUCAGUGGUGAAAGACGGUGGCUCAACCAUCGCAGUGCCGUUGAUACUGUUUAUCUUGAAUAUGGAUGAGGUAGGCGGAAUGUGGCAAGUAGCGGUGAAAUGCAUAGAUAUGCCACAGAACACCGAUUGCGAAGGCAGCUUACCAAGGCAAAAUUGACGCUGAGGCACGAAAGCGUGGGGAUCGAACAGGAUUAGAUACCCCUGUAGUCCCUGUCUCUUAUAC